AGGUUAAGAAAUUUAGGAGUCUUUUAGUAAUGAAAUGCUGUAGACUUCAAUUUUCUUUUAUCUCU
rnacentral:pre_miRNA from 1 species